GACGAACGCUGGCGGCGUGCCUAAUACAUGCAAGUCGAACGCUUUUUCUUUCACCGGAGCUUGCUCCACCGAAAGAAAAGGAGUGGCGAACGGGUGAGUAACGCGUGGGCAACCUACCCAUAAGCGGGGGAUAACAGUUGGAAACGACUGCUAAUACCGCAUAAGCUAUUGAGGUCGCAUGACCUUAAUAGUAAAGGUGGCAUUUUUAAAGAUGCUAUCACUUAUGGAU
rnacentral:rRNA from 1 species